rnacentral:rRNA from 1 species
GACGAACGCUGGCGGCGUGCUUAACACAUGCAAGUCGAACGGAAAGGCCCAGCUUGCUGGGUACUCGAGUGGCGAACGGGUGAGUAACACGUGGGUUAUCUGCCCUCAACUUUGGGAUAAGCCUGCGAAACUGGGUCUAAUACCGGAUAUGAUCAACUGUCGCAUGGUGGUUGGUGGAAAGCUUUUGCGGUUGAGGAUGGGCCCGCGGCCUAUCAGCUUGUUGGUGGGGUAAUGGCCUACCAAGGCGACGACGGGUAGCCGACCUGAGAGGGUGAUCGGCCACACUGGGACUGAGACACGGCCCAGACUCCUACGGGAGGCAACAGUGGGGAAUAUUGCACAAUGGGCGCAAGCCUGAUGCAGCGACGCCGCGUGAGGGAUGACGGCCUUCGGGUUGUAAACCUCUUUCACCAGGGACGAAGCGUGAGGGACGGUACCUGGAGAAGAAGCACCGGCCAACUACGU